rnacentral:lncRNA from 1 species
UGUUAAAAAUGAGCUAUAUGUCUAACAAUGUCCUGCAGGUUGUCUAUUUUUAUCUAAACAUCCUACUGGUAAUCUCCUAAACGAUGUCCAACUGCCACAAGGGUCUUCCUUUUCUCCAGCCACUAAACAAGCAGUGGCCUCAAGAUAAGCAAUAUUGAAAACAAUUACAACACUUGCAGCUCACAGGCAUGGACUAACCUCCUGUUCUACCAGCCAUAACCACAGCUUUCAUUGGACAAGAGGCUGAUUGCAGUAACUCUCCUGAAUAAGAAGGCCACUGGCCAUGGACUGGUUCUGGCCGGUUUACAGA